AGUACAUGGGCGCAAGCCUGAUGCAGCCAUGCCGCGUGUAUGAAGAAGGCCUUCGGGUUGUAAAGUACUUUCAGCGGGGAGGAAGGCGACAGGGUUAAUAACCCUGUCGAUUGACGUUACCCGCAGAAGAAGCACCGGCUAACUCCGUGCCAGCAGCCGCGGUAAUACGGAGGGUGCAAGCGUUAAUCGGAAUUACUGGGCGUAAAGCGCACGCAGGCGGUCUGUCAAGUCGGAUGUGAAAUCCCCGGGCUCAACCUGGGAACUGCAUUCGAAACUGGCAGGCUAGAGUCUUGUAGAGGGGGGUAGAAUUCCAGGUGUAGCGGUGAAAUGCGUAGAGAUCUGGAGGAAUACCGGUGGCGAAGGCGGCCCCCUGGACAAAGACUGACGCUCAGGUGCGAAAGCGUGGGGAGCAAACAGGAUUAGAUACCCCGGUAGUCCCA
rnacentral:rRNA from 1 species